rnacentral:lncRNA from 1 species
GCCACAUCAGUGUGUCACGUGGCCACGUGACCAACGACAUCGUGUUGUGUGGCGGACACACCAUCAUGGGUACACUCACGUGGCUGUUUGCGUCUGCGAUCCGUGUGAGGCUGAUGUCACGACUGACAUGUGUGGGGACAGAUUGUGUGGCCAAGAUGUGUUCACGCAUGGAUCGCGAUUCGAUCCAUGGGAGUGGUUCCUGCUUAGGUGUAAUCAACAGUUGUCACACAUUCUCGCCUCAUAUUCGAAUGAACGGCUCAGAUCGCGUCCUGGUGAGGCGACCUGAUGGUUCACGUGUAAAUCCCGCAUUCUGCAUGAUCUAACAGCUCCUAACACUUUAUGCCUAAGCCGAUCCAACUGCUAGGAGCCUGUUUCAUACGGAUCACGAUUGAACGACCUGCAUGCGUGUAUAUGCAAUGAUGCAUGAUUAGACGGUUCACGUGCGAUAUGCCGAUCGUACGACCAUGAUUGUUCUUGUUUUGCAUAUCAGAUGGCUCAGAUCGCAUGUUAGGUGAACAACUUAGAUCGUGCAUAGAUAUGAUCGAACGAUUGAGAUUUUACACGUGUAAAAUGAUCAAAAUGCUUAUGACCAAAUCGACAACACAUAUCUCACCAUGGAGAUCUGAU